AAAGAUUAAGCCAUGCAUGUGUAAGAAUAAGUCCUUAGUAAGACGAAUCUGCGAAUGGCUCAUUACAUCAGUGAUCAGUUUAUUUGAUGGUACCUUUCGCCUUGGAAAUACAGGCUGGGCUACUUGGAUAACCGUAUUAAUUCUAGAGCUAAUACAUGCUACUCCAAUGCGUGUUUUGUGCUCUUCACGGAGCGUAAGACAGGCAGCAUUUAUUAGAUUCAAACCAUCGGGGCACGAGGCGCAAGUCUCAUUGCUUUUCUCCUUUUCGGAGGGGAAAACUGAUGGUGAGUCAUGAUAACUGAAGCGAAUCGGAAAGACAAGGAGUAAGGCAACUCGUUUGCUUUACUCCUUCCGAUGCUUCAUUGAAAUUUCUGCCCUAUCAGCUUUGGAUGGUAGGAUCUUGGCCUACCAUGGCGAUCACGGGUAACGGGGAAUCAGGGUUCGAUUCCGGAGAGGGAGCUUGAGAAACGGCUACCACAUCCAAGGAUGGCAGCAGGCGCGCAAAUUACCCAAUCCUGACAUAGGGAGGUAGUGACAAUAGGUAACCAUGCUGGGCUGUUUUUACGCACCACGGCAAUUGGAAUGAGAGUGGCUUACACAAAGGUAGUGUGAAAUAAGCUGUUUAAACCCACAUUCGAGGAGCCAUUGGAGGGCAAGUCUGGUGCCAGCAGCCGCGGUAAUUCCAGCUCCAAUAGCGUAUAUUAAAGUUGUUGCAGUUAAAAAGCUCGUAGUCUGAUGUGGGGUGAUUGUUGAUACAAAAAGUUUUGUAACUUGUUACAAUUCUUUUUAAUUCAACUAUCAUCUCGUACUUCUGACAUGGACACUUUUUUAAAGGGUUCGUGGCAGAUAGUUUACUUUGAGAAAAAUAGCGUGUUCAAAGCAGGCGUUGAUUCACACUUCUUUCUUCAUUAAAUUGAAGGAGAAAUGCCUAACCUUGCACUUUCAUUUGUUUGAAAGUGUGACUUGAAUACAUUAGCAUGGGAUAAUGGAAUAGGACAUUGGUUCUGUGUUUUGACUCCGAUUUCAGCUGUCACAGGCUGGUUCGGGACCGAUGUAAUGGUCAACGGGGACUGUUGGGGACAUUCAUACUCCAUGGCUAGAGGUGAAAUUCUUGGAUUCAUGGAAGAUGAACUAGUGCGAAAGCAUUUGUCAAAGAUGUUUUCAUUGAUCAAGAACGAAAGUUAGGGGAGCAAAGACGAUCAGAUACCGUCGUAGUCUUAACCAUAAACGAUGCCGACUCUUGGGAUUGGGGGAUGGUGCGCGAGACCAUGGGUUUUCACGAAUCUGUGUUGUCUUGCACCCGCCUUCCCCAGCACCUCCGUUAUUCACAAAACACACAAGGGAAACCGUUAAGUGUUUGGGUUCCGGGGGGAGUAUGGUCGCAAGGCUGAAACUUAAAGGAAUUGACGGAAGGGCACCACCAGGAGUGGAGUUUGCGGCUUAAUUUGACUCAACACGGGGAAACUCACCAGGUCCAGACAUGGUAAGGAUUGACAGAUUGAGAGCUCUUUCUUGAUUCCGUGAAAGGUAGCGCAUGGCCGUUCUUAGUUGGUGGAGUGAUUUGUCUGGUUAAUUCCGUUAACGAACGAGACCUUGGCCUGCUAACUAGUUGGGGGGUGUUGAUGGAGAGCUUGUCUUUUCAAAAAACAUCCUCUGCUGAUCUUGUCCAAAAAACAAGACCAGCGUGCCAAUUCAAAAACACAACUUCUUAGAGGGACAAUCUGCGUUUUUAGCAGAGGGAAGCAAAAGGCUAUAACAGGUCUGUGAUGCUCUUAGAUGUUCUGGGCUGCACGCGUACUACACUGACGAGCACAGCGAGUGUCAUUGGAACAGGGUUUUGUAUUGGUUUCGGCCUUUACAUUGCCCAUUACACCUCUUCAGAAAUGAAAAGGGUAAUCUUGUCAACGCUCUGUCGUGAUGGGGAUAGAUGAUUGUAAUUAUUCGUCUUGAACGAGGAAUUCCUAGUAAGUGUGGGUCAUCAGCUCGCGCUGAUUACGUCCCUGCCCUUUGUACACACCGCCCGUCGCUCCUACCGAUUGAAUGGUCCGGUGAGAACGUCGGAGGGGGAGCUUGCCUUUUCCAAGGCAAACUAUCCCCAAAGUUGUUCAAACCUUACUAUUUAGAGGAAGGAGAAGUCGUAACAAGGUUUCCGUAGGUGAACCUGCAGAAGGAUCA
rnacentral:rRNA from 1 species